ensembl:lncRNA LY6S-AS1 LY6S antisense RNA 1
AUGCGUGGUAUCAAGAGGUGCAUUGAGGCGCUCCUGCAGCCUCCUCCCGGCACGGGACUCCUCACAACCCCCAGCCUCAGCUUCCCUGACAGGGCAGGGGCUCACUCUUCUCCACUCCGGGCCAGGAACGCAGCCUGCUUGCCUUUUGUCCAAUUGGGUGCUCUUUCUUUGCGACUGAUACAAAGUGGGAACAAACUCCGCUUCCGGUGAUGCCCGGGCCCCAGGAGGCUGGGGGAGAAGUGCACGCUGCCCAGCCUUCAACCUGAACUGCCCCCAGCACUUCCGAGCCCCGACCCCUGCAGCUGUGAGGGAAGCCCCGACCUCUGCCCUGGCCACAUCCUUCCCCUGAUCUCAUGGCUGAAAAGCCACACCAGAAUUCCUGCAAUUCAGUGAGGCAGCUCUUCAAAACCAAGCAGCUGGUGACGCACAGGGACAGAGGGUAGGCCUGCGGGGGAGAGGGCGGGAAAGGCCCUCACAGCAGGGCCCAGAGGAAGACUGACCCCAGGCUGAGCAGGAGCUGUACGCACAGGGCCCAGGGGCUGCUGGCUGCCAGGACCACCGCAUUGCAGAGGUCUCCCUUGCAGCAAGAGAUCUG